ensembl:lncRNA
GUUUAUCAAUUGUACUAUACUAUCUGACAAUAGAGUCAACAAGGAACCUUUGGUCUCAACAAAGAAAACACUUUUAAUGUCCCUCUUCAAUGUACAACACUCUUGUGUUCCCAUGAAAUGGAUACAUACAUUUUAAAUUACCCUUGUAACAUCCAGAUGAGAUGAAUGCUCUCUAAUAUAUGAAGUGCAGCAUUUGCAAAAUAAAAACCAAUUUCCAAGGUUGUCACAGAGCACGGGAACCAAACACAUUGUCACAUCACAUCAAGCUCACCGCGCCUCAGUACAACCUGCGAAAAAAACUCAGACUUUUUUUUAUUAAGAUGGGAGUCCCAAACAUUGAGUUUGUAAAUAAAAGUUAUUUAUCUUGAUGUCAUCUAGAAAUCGGCACUUGCCCUUCAGCUAAUCGCCAGGACAGUGGAGGACAUCCAAUCAAUCAAGGAGGGUCUAUUAUGCUGUGCAAACUUUUCAAACAUUCCCACAAGAAAUGGAGGGAAAUGGGUCUGGCAAUCUUUUUUCCAAUGAUUUAUGAUGUUUUGAGAGUCCAAUAAUUGCAUCAGUGUUGUGGAAUUGGUCAAAUAAAAUGAGGUCUUGUGCUUGGGUUCUUUUUUUUCCCUGUACCUGUGUAGGUCAUGUAGUACAGUCAUCAAUUACAAUUUGGAUACAAUGUUUGGGGAAUCAGUGUUAGAAAAGAAAAUAUCAAGGAAUAGAUUAUUGAUAACACAGCAGUAAAAAAGUAAUAUGAUGAUUUUAAACAACAAUUGAAGGCACUAGUCUGGCAAUGUCAGUAAUAUGGAGCAUAUCACAUACUAGAAACAUGUUAACAUUCCAUAUCACUUCCACUUGUAUAUCAGUUGGAAAUCUAACUGUUGAUUUAAUUGGCUUGCCUAUAUAGUAAAAUUAUUUCAGAGAAUCUCAUUGCCAUUUUGUUUGUUCCUUUCCGUUUGUUUCCUGCCUCUGCCUGCCUACAGCUUUGUAGGACAGUAACUGACGGUCAGUGUGGUUGCCAGCACACAGCACCUAUCACACCACCCAGAAUUUCUUCAGUCAAACUUUAUAUUAUUUUAUGUCAAUCAGCGGUGAGCUUUUCUGCCAUUUCUUUUUUCCAAUUGCGCCACGCUUCUUGUGACAUUUGCUGCACUUCAUUGUUAGCUGAGGUCGUCCUUGAGCUUUUUAUGGCUCCCAUGUUCAAGGCUGGACAGGUCUUUGUGCUCCAUCCAUUUUCCAUUGGUGAGAGGAUGCCUGACAUGUAUAUCCCUGUGGAAAUAAAGGGCCUUCUGCAAUGCCAGCACUGUCACUUAACAGUGGCCUGUUUGUCUGGUGUGCAAAUCUUGGGAAUGCUGCCAACGUCCUUAGGCCUCAGAGAGCGAUGACCUCACUAUUAUGCUUUAUUACUCUGGUUAGGCUAUUUGAUAUGUAGGGGGAACAUCUUUCUUUCCACAGGGACACCGACCUUAGCUUUUCAACUGGUAAUACAAGAGAAAGAUGUACGAGAGAAAGGCUGCCUUCAUUUAAUGCUGUUUUUUAAGCUAUCAUCAAAUUCAAACAAGUAUACAUUUUAGAAAACUUUAGCAUGGAAUAAAGGGGUAGUAACAUGAUUAAACAAUUUGUUGGCAUUGUUAAAAUUCUAGCACUACCUAGUUCUAACAUGUGUCCAUUGUCUUGAUAUUGUCCACAUUCUGAUUGUGACAAUGUUUUUAGACAGGUGUAGAUGAUAAACAAAUGCAAUGGGCUCAGACCAGGAUCAAAUCAAAAGUGUAAACAGACAAGAUCAGGACAAGGCAUGCAUGUUCGUACAAAGUAUAAACAGGGCAACGGAUUUUACUGUAGUUAUAGCUUAUCCCAUAUUUGUUACCACAUACUACUUAAUAUUGUGCUGUAGACUACACUGCUUGUAGGGGUAGAAGCAUUCCAAUAGCCAUUAAUUAGCAACAAACUUUCUGUAAAUCAAAAAUGUUUUAAAUGUACUAUUAUGGACAAAAUUAUCCCUAGCAGUUUUACAGUCAAAAACGGUUAACGUCGUUGGAAAAAUUACCUGAUAUUUCCUAAAUGCCUUCAAUGUCUGUAUGUUUAUAGAAUGAAACGUGGUUUUUCCCCAAGAAGCUCCCAGUUUUCCAGAACCAAAGUGCCGAAUGUAAAUAUUCUUUGGGUUGGCUCCAUCCACUUUUCUCACACGCUACUUCACACAGCUUAAUCAAGAAUAUGAAACAUCAACCCAGUAUCCAGCUCACGGAACUCCACUCAAUGAUAUCACGUUUUCUGUGUUUGUAUCUGUACAUAUGAUGCGCUACAUACUGUACACCAACAUACUGAUAUGCCUACUGGUUGACUCUGUAACGUACCGUUGAAUUUUUGAUUCUUAUUGUUUGAUCAAAAAUAUGUUUCUCUCAAUGUUUUAAA